UACAGAGGUCCCGAGCGUUGUUCGGAUUCAUUGGGCGUAAAGGGUGCGUAGGUGGCGCUGUAAGUGGGGUGUGAAAUCUCGGGGCUCAACCCCGAAACUGCACUUGAUACUGCCUUGCUCGAGUACUGGAGAGGAGAUUGGAAUUUACGGUGUAGCAGUGAAAUGCGUAGAUAUGCGGAGGAACACCGAUGGCGAAGGCAAUCCCCUGGGCCUGCACUGACGCUCAUGCACGAAAGCGUGGGGAGCAAACAGG
rnacentral:rRNA from 1 species